rnacentral:misc_RNA from 1 species
GAUGAAGAACGUAGCGAAAUGCGAUACUUGGUGUGAAUUGCAGAAUCCCGUGAACCAUCGAGUCUUUGAACGCAAGUUGCGCCCGAAGCCAUCAGGUUGAGGGCACGUCUGCCUGGGCGUCACAUAUCGUUGCCCAAUGCCUAUUGCAGUGCAAUAGGAAUUUCUAGGGCGAAUGAUGGCUUCCCGUGAGCGUUGUUGCCUCGCGGUUGGUUGAAAAUCGAGUCCUUGGUAGGGUGUGCCAUGGUAGAUGGUGGUCGAGUUAGAACGAUACCGAUCAUGUGCAUGCUCCCCAAAAUAUGGCCUCUAUGACCCACACGCGUCUUUUGACGCUAAUGACGAGACCUCAGGUCAGGCGGGGCUACCCGCUGAAUUUAAGCAUAUCAAUAAGCGGAGGA